GCGGCCUUCGUCCACUCCAGUUCGCGUCGCCGGCGAACGGCGGCCUCCGCGGAUGCCCCCCCCCCCCCCCUCCCCCUCCACAUGGUCUCGACGCAAUGCACCUGAAGAGGAAAGCGGCCAAGUUCCAUCUUGCCGCAAUGCCGUCCUGAGCGUCGCCGUCGCGGAUCUCCUCCUGAAGACCCCACUCCUGGGGUGGGGGUGCGCCGUACGCGUCGCGUGCGUGGUGUGGCCGUGACAUCCAACAGCCGUGGACGACGACGACGGCGACGCCCACCGAUGGCGAGUCCUGCCCUUGGGUGUGCGGUGGGAAGGGGACUUGCACGCUCGCCGCCAGGUUCGGCGGCCGGGACGGUGGUGGCUGGCUUGGACUCACGAGUGGCCUCACGCGCAUGCCACCUGUUCGACAGAAUGCCUGACCCAAGGGGCUACCACCAGCUGGCGGGCAUCAGUAACUUCCGCAGUUGAAGUGUGUAGACUGUCUUCUUACAAGAACAAGAACAUGGACCUAUCAAAAGUAAAAACUGGCCAGAUACGAUGCAACUUUACUGAUGGCGUGCAUUUCGCCUAUAUGGCCACUCAGGCAGGCGUUGCCAGUUACCGAAAUGCUACGCCACCACUUACCCUCCAACUAUGUAUCCAAGGUAACUUUCAUGCUUUUCCUUUGCCUCCUUUUCUUCACGAAAGAAUUACCAGUAUUGCUCAUGAGACAGAAGGGUGGACUUCAACACUAGAAUUUUGCACGUCGUUCCACUAAAAACAAAAUUAGGUUGGGGGAAACUCCUACUGGGGGUAGUAAAAUUAUGGAUCGUGGAGGGUUGGAUGUGUGAUAAACGCUGCGUGUAAAUAAAUGGUUUCUUAGUAAUUAUGAAAAAAAAACUUGCACGCUCAAUAUCGUGAUUUUCCAAAUGCUCUGUGUCGUACAUGCAAUGAAACCAUCAAAUUGUUCCAUUGUUAGGCUACGAGACUAACGAAGUUACUCCCCCUCCCCUAUUUUUAUGUAUAUAACGUUAUUAACAUACCCUUCUGUCCUAAAAAAAUAUCUAAUCAUAUUUUUAUGUAGUUAAAGUUUGCUCUUUUUUUUUUUACAUAGUAUAUGUUUAACCACCGGUCUUAUACGAGUGGAGUUGUAGGUCCACUAAGCACAACUAUGAGUUUCUCAUAUUUAGGAAGGGACUCGGAUCGACACGCGGUUAUAAAAUGGAUCCACUUUAGUUCGACUGCGUCCACUCUCUAGUGUAUCUAAACUGCGUCCACUCUCUAGUGUAUCUCCUUUUAGUAGAAGAAAAAUG